rnacentral:rRNA from 1 species
UCGGCUCCGCCUUAUGAUCGGCCCAAGUGGAUUAGCUAGUGGUAAGGGAAUGGCUUACCAAGGCGACGAUCCCUAGUGGUUUGAGAGGAUGACAGCCACACUGAACUGAAACACGGUCAGACUCCUACGGGAGCAGCAGUGGGGAUAUUGCACAUGGGCGCAGCCGGUAUCGGAGGUCACG